rnacentral:lncRNA from 1 species
AGUUGCCGGCGGAGUUUUCUCGCUGGUGGGCGGACCCGAGCGGAGGCCCGGAGGACAGCCGGGAGCGCAGGCUCGACGCCAGGUGCCCGGCUGGACCGCGAGGGACCCGGGCGUCCCCUCGGCCGCGGCAGUCGGAGGAGGGGCUGUGGAGGCGGGGGCAGGGGCGCUGCGGGCCCGAAGAUGAUAUCAUCAAGUUGAAUCGAAAGGAAGGGAAGAAGCAGAAUUUUCCAAGACUAAAUAGAAGACUCCUCCAGCAAAGUGGUGCCCAGCAAUUCAGGAUGAGAGUGCGAUGGGGAAUCCAACAGAAUUCUGGUUUUGGUAAGACUAGUCUGAAUCGUAGAGGAAGAGUAAUGCCUGGAAAGAGACGUCCUAAUGGAGUUAUCACUGGCCUUGCAGCUAGGAAAACGACUGGAAUUCGAAAAGGAAUUAGUCCUAUGAAUCGUCCACCUCUAAGUGACAAGAAUAUAGAACAAUAUUUUCCAGUGUUAAAA